rnacentral:lncRNA from 1 species
AAAAGAAAUACAUCCAGCCGGACACAUCCCAAAACUGAAGCUAGCCGAAUCUUCCCCUGACCAAUCAAAGUCUACUGAUUCUACGACACAGCAGAAUCGGUGAAAACUGCAACAUGCCGGACAUCUCGAUGCUUGACGGCCAACCACCCUUUUGAGUUGCCUCUCAUCUGAAUCAUAAAGGUGCACAGUCACUAUUCUAGAUACAAUCUUCAUAGGUAAUUAUUAGUUGGUUAACCAUUUCCUGAUCUUCUUGCAACAAAACCACUAUGGCAUACAAAAAGCUUAACUACGUAAUAACAGGAAGACAAAAUCUUAUAGCCAACGAGCUUAUGAGCCUCGAUAUGAUCUUGAUAUAUGAGAAGGUUAAUUCGUUGCAUAUUUAAUUGUAGAUUGUUCUAUUAAAACAAUAGUUACAAAGUAGGAGUAUCUUUUAUUCUUUUACAUGGUCAAACAAUCCAUGUAAAAGUCAACCAGUGCCACACGAAUAUAUACAGAUCCAGAUAUACCUUAAACUCGGGAAGUUCUUCACAGGUGUCGAACGCUAUCUAUUACGUAUUAUUUAUCAACUAAUGAAUCAUAACUCAUGUCUAUUCAUGAAUAAUUAUUAUACUUCUCACUCCAAAUGUGCAGGCACCCAACAGAAGAAAUUUUACCAAAAAUGAUUGAGAUAGAUACAAGUAUGGAUGGACCACUACAAAACAUUUACAUUAAAAGAACUUACUAGAAUGAGAUGCAAAAGGUAGACAAAUCAGGUAAUGCAUGAGACUUCUUUAUGAUAUCGCCGCUUUUGAAGAAAAACAAGACUAUAAGACCUACGAAGACAAUUGAGACAUAUUAGUUAUAAUAGAACCAUAUUUGAGUUAUUUAUGUCUCUCAAUUUAUUCAGAAUCCUUUAAAGAUUUUGUGUUUUGUUUUUACGAUUUUGUGGUCACAUCAAUAGCUACAAUAGAUAGGUUAUGAGAAAAUAUCCAGUGAUGGUAUAUGUCGUCUGAUGAUAAGGAAACUGACAAGUACAAUGGUACAUAUCCAGAAAUUGUUACACCUCCGUGAUCAUAUUAUACUAAUUUGAACAUGAUCGUUCCUAUUAUCCUACUCUGCACUAAUAACAAUGGUAUGGUAGGUAUCAUAUUCGACUCCAAAUUAGUGACUGUACAGUUACUACAAGUUGCCUUUGUUUGACAAGGACGCCCAAAAAUUGCUUAAUACAUCUGUGCCGAAUUUGCUGAAUCCAUGGAUGGGAAAUAUGAAGAAGCGUCAAAGAUUAUACAACAAUUAUGUUGACACAGACUUAUCUUUCGAUUCAAGCUCAAGGAUAGUGAUCUCACCUUCAGCACACAAAACUAUGCACUAGAAAAACAUUUUGUGCCUGAUGAUAGGCUUGAGAAGCGGUACAUGAACUGCACCCUGGACACCGCGAAGAAUGCAAAGGGAGAAGUAGAGCGAGAUAGCUUGGACCUUGGGGUUAGAUUCGUGAUGGCCAGGAGCGACAUCUGCCGGCAGCUAAUCGGAAGAGGUGGCGCAUGUGGACGGGGGAGCCUGGUCCUGGUGGGGAUCGACUGAGAUGCGGCCUCGCUGGUGGACGGCGCCUGAACCGCGGCUCGAGCGCGUGUCACGGCACCAAUCAGACCUAGCCACCAAUGGAGCUAUGGUGAUGCACGGGCAGACCACUCCGAUUUGGUACAGCCGCCGCCGCCGCCGCUGCCGCCUCGAUCUGUUUUACUCUCUCACUCUUUUUUUAGGGAUUUCUCACUCUCAG